rnacentral:rRNA from 1 species
UAAGGAAUAUUGCUCAAUGGGAGAAAUCCUGAAGCAGCAACGCCGCGUGGAGGAUGAAGGGUCUAUGACUUGUAAACUCCUGUAAAGAAGGAAAAAAUUCCCAUUUGAUGGGAGAUGAUGGUACUUCUGGAGUAAGCCCCGGCUAACUACGUGCCAGCAGCCGCGGUAAUACGUAGGGGGCAAGCGUUGUCCGGAUUUACUGGGUGUAAAGGGUGCUCAGGCGGAUUUGUAAGUCAGGGGUGAAAUCUUACAGCUUAACUGUGAAACUGCCUUUGAUACUGCAAGCCUAGAGUAUGGAAGAGAGUGAUGGAAUAUCUGGUGUAGCAGUGAAAUGCGUAGAUAUCAGAUAGAACACCAAUGGCGAAGGCAGUCACUUGGUCCAUUACUGACGCUAAAGCACGAAAGCGUGGGUAGC